GAUGAACGCUGGCGGCGUGCCUAAUACAUGCAAGUCGAGCGAACAGACGAGGAGCUUGCUCCUCUGACGUUAGCGGCGGACGGGUGAGUAACACGUGGAUAACCUACCUAUAAGACUGGAAUAACUUCGGGAAACCGGAGCUAAUACCGGAUAAUAUAUUGAACCGCAUGGUUCAAUAGUGAAAGACGGUUUUGCUGUCACUUAUAGAUGGAUCCGCGCCGCAUUAGCUAGUUGGUAAGGUAACGGCUUACCAAGGCGACGAUGCGUAGCCGACCUGAGAGGGUGAUCGGCCACACUGGAACUGAGACACGGUCCAGACUCCUACGGGAGGCAGCAGUAGGGAAUCUUCCGCAAUGGGCGAAAGCCUGACGGAGCAACGCCGCGUGAGUGAUGAAGGUCUUCGGAUCGUAAAACUCUGUUAUUAGGGAAGAACAAAUGUGUAAGUAACUAUGCACGUCUUGACGGUACCUAAUCAGAAAGCCACGGCUAACUACGUG
rnacentral:rRNA from 1 species